GGGUGUUUUUGCGAUUGGAGGAGUUGCAAUUGGUGAACUUGCAACAGGUGGCUUUGUCAUAGGUGGGGUUGCAACAGGCGACUUAGCGAUAGGUGGAGUUGCUACGGGUGGUGUGGCAACGGGUGGCCGUGCGCCGGGUGGCUUUGCGAUUGGAGGAGUUGCAACAGGUGGAGUUACGGUGGGUGGUGUUGCAACCGGUGGUUUUGCAACAGGCGGAGUUGCAGGUGGCGGCGUUGCAACAGGUGGUUUUGCUAUAGGAGAAGUAGCAACAGGUGGAGUUGCGGUUGGUGGUGUCGCAACUGGUGGUUUUGCAAUAGGAGGAGUACCAAUAGGCGGCGGCGCGAUUGGUGACUUUGCGAUGGGUGGAGUUGCAAUAGGCGGUGUCACAAUAGGUGGUUUUACGAUGGGAGGAGUUGCUACAGGUGGAGUUGUAACUGGUGGUUUUGCCACGGGCGGAGUUUCAAUAGGCGACGUUGCGACUGGUGGCUUUGCGAUAGGAGGAGUUGCUACUGGUGGAGUUGCAACCGGCGGUUUUGUGAUUGGAGGAGUUGCGACUGGUGGUUUUAUGAUUGGAGGUGUUGCAAUUGGUGGACUUGCAACUGGUGGCUUUGCCAUGGGCGGGGUUGCAACAGGCGGCUUACCGAUAGGUGGAGUUGCUAUUGAUGGCAUUGCGGUGGGGGGUGUUGCAAUUGGUGGCUUUGCAAUAGGUGACUUUGCGAUAGGAGGAUUUGCAACAGGUGGAUUUGCGGUGGGUGGUGUUGCAAUUGGUGGUUUUGCAAUGGGCGUAGUUGCAACAGGCGGUGUUGCGAUAGGUGGCUUUGCGAUAGGAGGAGUAGAAACAGGUGGAGUUGCGAUCGGUGAUUUUGCAAUAGGAGGAGUUACGAUAGGAGGCGGCGUAACGAUUGGUGGCAUUGCGGUAGGUGGAUUUGUUACUGGUGGUGUUGCAACCGGUGGUUUUGUAAUGGGAGGUAUAGCAACCGGUGGUUUUACAACAGGAGGAAUUGCAACAGGUGGAGUUGCGGUUGGAGGUGUUGCGGUGGGCGAUGUUUCAACUGGUGGUUUUGCAAUAGGUGGCAGUACAGUGGGCGGUUUUGCGAUUGGCGGUGUUGCAACCGGCGGUUUUUCUACAGGUGGAUUUGCUAUAGGUGGAGUUGCAACAGGCGGUUUUGCGGUAGGUGGAGUUGCUAUUGGUGGCAUUGCAACAGGUGGAGUUGCGGUGGGCGGUGUUGUCGUUGGAGGUUUUGCAAUAGGAGGAGUUGCAACUGGUGAAGUUGCGGUGGGCGGUGUUACAACCGGUGGUGUUGCAAUAGGAGAAGUUGCAAUAGGUGGAGUUGCGGUGGGCGGUGUUGCAACUGGCGGUUUUGCGACGGGUGGAGUUGCUAUUGGUGGAAUUGCAACAGGCGGUUUUGCGGGUGGUGGAGUUUUUAUAGGUGGUAUUGCAACUGGUGGUUUUGCAACAGGAGAAGUUGCAAUUGGUGGUGUUGCGGUGGGCGGUGUUGCAACUGGCGGUUUUGCGAUGGGUGGAGUUGCUAUUGGUGGAGUUGCAACAGGAGGUUUUGCGGGUGGUGGAGUUGUGAUAGGUGGUGUUGCGGCUGGUGGUGUUGCAACUGGUGGUUUUGAAAUAGGAGGAGUUAAGAUUGGUGGCUUUGCGGUAGGUGGAGUUGCUAUUGGUGGUGUUGCAACCGGUGGUUUUGCAACAGGUGGAGUUGCGGUGGGCGGUGCUGUAGUGGGUGGUGUUGCAACUGGUGGUUUUGCAAUAGGAGGAGUUGCAACUGGUGGUGUCGCGGUGGGCGGUGUUGCAACCGGUGAUUUUGCAAUAGGAGGAGUUGCAAUAGGUGGUGUUGCGGUGGGCGGUGUUACAACUGGGGGUUUUGCGACGGGUGGAAUUGCUAUCGGUGGAGUUGCAAUAGGCGGUUUUGCGGUAGGUGGAGUUGCUAUUGGUGGCAUUGCAACAGGUGGAGUUGCAGUAGGCGGUAUUGUCGUUGGAGGUUUUGCAAUAGGAGGAGUUGCAACUGGUGGAGUUGCGGUGGGCGGUGUUACAACCGGUGGUGUUGCAAUAGGAGGAGUUGCAAUAGGUGGAGUUGCGGUGGGCGGUGUUGCAACUGGCGGUUUUGCGACGGGUGGAGUUGCUAUUGGUGGAAUUGCAACAGGCGGUUUUGCAGGUGGUGGAGUUUUUAUAGGUGGUGUUGCAACUGGUGGUUUUGCAACAGGAGAAGUUGCAAUUGGUGGUGUUGCGGUGGGCGGUGUUGCAACUGGCGGUUUUGCGAUGGGUGGAGUUGCUAUUGGUGGAGUUGCAACAGGAGGUUUUGCGGGUGGUGGAGUUGUGAUAGGUGGUGUUGCGGCUGGUGGUGUUGCAACUGGUGAUUUUGAAAUAGGAGGAGUUGAGAUUGGUGGCUUUGCGGUAGGUGGAGUUGCUAUUGGUGGUGUUGCAACCGGUGGUUUUGCAACAGGUGGAGUUGCGGUGGGCGGUGUUGUAGUUGGUGGUGUUACAACUGGUGGUUUUGCAAUAGGAGGAGUUGCAACUGGUGGUGUCGCGGUGGGCGGUGUUGCAACCGGUGAUUUUGCAAUAGGAGGAGUUGCAAUAGGUGGUGUUGCGGUGGGCGGUGUUACAACUGGGGGUUUUGCGACGGGUGGAAUUGCUAACGGUGGAGUUGCAACAGGUGGUUUUACUGGUGUUGGAGUUGUUAUAGGUGGUGUUGCGGCUGGUGGUGUUGCAACUGGUGGUUUUGAAAUAGGAGGAGUUGAGAUUGGUGGCUUUGCGGUAGGUGGAGUUGCUAUUGGUGGUGUUUCAACUGGUGGUUUUGCAACAGGUGGAGUUGCGGUGGGCGGUGUUGUAGUGGGUGGUGUUGCAACCGGUGGUUUUUCAAUAGGAGGAGUUGCAACUGGUGGAGUCGCAGUGGGCGGUGUUGCAAUUGGCGAUUUUGCGAUGGGUGGAGUUGCAACAGGUGGUUUUGCGGGUGGUGGAGUUUUUAUUGGUGAUGUUGCGGUUGGUGGUGUUGCAACUGGUGAUUCUGAAAUAGGAGGAGUUGAGAUAGGUGAUUUUGAGGUAGGUGGAGUUGCUAUUGGUGGUGUUGCAACAGGUGGAGUUGCGGUGGGCGGUGUUGCAACUGGUGGCUGUGCAAUUGGAGUGACGGGUGGAGUUACUAUUGGUGAAAUUGCAACAGGCGGUUUUGCGGGUGGUAGAGUUGUUAUUGGUGGUGUUGCGGCUGGUGGUGUUGCGGCUGGUGGUGUUGAAAUAGGAGGAGUUGCGAUAGGUGGUUUUGCAAUGGGAGGAGUGGUAGUAGGCGGUGUAGUAACAGGCGGCUUUGAUAUUGGAGGAUUUGUUAUAGGAGGAGCUGCUACUGGAGGAGUUGCUAUAGGUGGCAUUAUGAUAGGUGGGUUUGCGAUGGGAGGUGUUGUGAUAGGAGGUGUUGCAACAGGUGGAAUUGUAAUGGGCGGUGUUGCAGUAGGUGGGGUUGCAAUAGGCGGUGUUGCGACGGGCGAUUUGGCGAUGGGAGGUGUUGCGAUAGGAGGCAUUUGAGUGGGAGGAGUUGCCAUUGGUGGUGAG
rnacentral:lncRNA from 1 species